AUGCCGGAUCUCCCGGAUUAUCUAAUACCAAGACUAAAGAUGCGAUUCUAGAAUGUAGAGAAAGCAAGGGAAUUUUAUAAUAGAUACGCCAGACACGCAGGUUUUGGAAUCAUGAAGACAGGAGGGAAUGACAAUCACACGUAUUUUGUUUGCGCGUUCCAGGGGAGGCACACAACUUCUGUUUCACAGGCUGAUAGGAAACGAAACAAAACAUCACAGAGGACAUGCUGCAAUACAAGAAUGAGGGUGAAGGUGCAGGAGGAUGACACAUUUGUGGUAGUAGACAUUGAAUACAAUCAUAAUCACCACCUCAUGCAAUUUGAUGACAUGCUGGUAUUCUUGCACUCACAUAAGAAUUAUGACCCCACUAUUCUGGAGUACGUAAAGCUCCUGCUGUACCAUGAUGUCAAGCAUACAACAAUCAUGUCCAUGCUAUCUGAAAAUGAAGAUGGAAGCUACUUCCUAAGCAUGACCGGACGAGACCUACUAAACCAGAAAGCAACGAAUGCAAGGAAAGAUGAUUUGGAUGAUGUAUUGAAACCUGUAUCUUUCUUUAAAGACAUGAAGGCAAUCAAUGAUGAGUUUUAUGACAUACAAGUAGACAAUGACAAAACAGUUAAAAACAUUUUCUGGUCCAAUGCAAGCUGUCGAGGAGCAUAUCAAGACGGCGAUUGUGUAACAUUCGACACAACUUACAAGACCAACAGAUUUCAUAUGCCUCUGGGAGUGUUUGUUGGAACAAAACAUCACUUGCAGUCAACGAUAUUUGCUGUCGCCCUGAUUAGAGACGAAGAUGCAAAGUCAUUCAAGUGGCAGUUUGACACAUUUGUAUGGUGCAUGAACAACAAACACCCAACUUGCAUUCUAACAGACCAGCGCCCAUCGAUGGCGAAAGCUAUACCACAAUCAUUCCCAAACACCGUCCACAAGCUAUGCCGAUGGCACAUCCUAGAGAAGUUCAAGGAAUACCUCGCGUUGUUGUACAAAAAGUAUAAAACAUUCAAAGAGGAGUUCACAACGAUCUCAAACUGGCUGCUAAUGCCUACAGAGUUUGAAACUGCCUGGGCUACACUCAUGCAGAAGUACAACCUACAGAAUGACCAGAUGAUGAUGCAGUUGUGGAAUGAUAGGAAGAUGUGGAUUUCAGCAUAUUACAAGAAUAUUUUCUGUGCUAGAAUGACUUCCACACAACAAAGCGAGAGCAUGAAUCACGUGCUCAAGAGAGGGUUUGUCAAGGGGACCCAGAACCUACACAAGUUUGCUAGGCGGGUAAAUGCCUGCAUACAAACUCGGAUGCAGAAGGAGAACGAGCAAACAAUGACCAGCAUGGUAUUAAGACAAAAAAACACCCCCAUCAUAUUGUGA
rnacentral:rRNA from 1 species